UGGAUCUCUUACAGUUCUUAGGAGACCCUCUAUUUACCCCUCAGAGCUACAAUUUUCAGAGUUCCCUGGGAAGAUGGGAAUGACUGUUAAACCGCUCUGGAAAUUGUAGCUGUGUGAGGAGAGUAGUCUUUUCCUCACUAUUCUCAGCACCCAUAACAAACUACAUUCCCAGGAUUCUUCAGGGAAGAAGGCGUUGUUGUUUUAAAGUAGCAUAAUAGUGCUUUAAAUGUGUAUAGCAGAUGGGGCCUUACUAUCACAGUUCAUUCUUUUUUCUUUUCUUUUUUAAAGUAAACCCAAAAUACAUGAAAUUAAAGGCUGAUUGUCUUAGAUCCCGGGUUGCCAAUUCAUUCUCAGAAUUUUCUGGGCAGGCAGAAAUGAGUGGUGAGCGUCGGUUUGUAAGCUGUGUGAGUUAAUGGUGAUGUCUGUUGGCAAGGCAAUGUGUCUUGGACACACAGUUGAUACUGGGAGAGAUCUGCUCCUCUAAGUACUUGAGUCCCAAGCAAUUUAGGUCUUUCUACACUUUCACAGACCAUAUAAGCUAGUUUAGUGUACCACCCAUGUGCCUUCCAGAUGUUUGGGGCUACAAAUGCUGUCCAGAACUGAUGGGGAGUUGUAGUCCCAAGUUUUUGGAUACCACCUGUUUGUCAAAAUAUACUAGCUGUUCCAUAUAUUAGCUGCUUUUUUUAAAAAAACGAAAAAUGCUGGUUUUAAUUUAUAUGCUUGCUUAAAAUAUUGUAAGUCGCUUUGAAUUGCCAUGGCAAAAAGCAACUAAUAAAUUUAAUUAAUAAUUUUA